UGGACAAGCAGGUCUGACAGGUUGCAUUUUUGUUCCCAUUACUAUGAUGGGCACGAGGAUUCGUUCCCAUUUUCGUCAGCUGGCAUUCGGUCCUGGAUUUAAACCGCAACUGUGGCUGCAUUGCUGUGAAAUGUAUCACUGCUUAUGACUCACGUUGCAAAGGACACAUUUGUAAACUGACCCACCAUUGACAAAAUCCUCUCUUUCUUCAUUUGUAGGAGGCAAGAUGAGGCAUAGGUUCCUUGUCUGAUUCAUUUCCUGAGGAAAUUUUUACUCCCUGCAUCUUUUUCAGUCCUCAUUCAGUCAGAGAGCAGCAAAGUGAUUAAUACAAAAUCCAUGCCUGACACAGGCUGGAAGAAAGAUGCAAAUUCCUUUAGAACCAGCGCUUAAUUAAUCGCUCAGAAAAACAGUCCACUGCCAAAAAAUGGGGGGGGGAGGGGGUUAUUUUUUGGCUUUUUUCUUUUUCCCCCCUAGUUGAGAAAGCCUUUUCAGUUGGAAAGCCAAUGACAAGCAACGGCACACAGCAAAAUGCACGAAGGACAAAUCCAGCACCCUUUGAAAUCAACCCCUCGGAAGGAAGAAUUAGCAACCUGGACAGUGCUGCAGGCAACUCCAGCCCUCCUGCAUCUGCUGCUCGAUCACACUCACUCACAGCCAGCUCUGGUCCUUCCUCACCACACUGCAGAAAUCCUAGGAGAGCUGCGUAUCUAACAUCUCAGACAAACACAGACAAUGACCAGAAAAUUAAAACUGCCGGGAAUAAAAGAUAACACAAAGAGAGCCCUGGAGAAACUGCACCUCCCACGUCCCCCUGCCAUGAUGGCCAGCAGCGGUGCAGCAGUGCACGCUGACUCCAGCUGUGCAGCGGGGCUGAGGAGCCCAGCACCACCCCAG
rnacentral:lncRNA from 1 species